rnacentral:lncRNA from 1 species
ACCUAAUCUAAUCAAUGACUCUAAUUGUAAUUUAGUCUCUAAACCUAAUUUGUUCCACCCAUAUUCGAAGUCCAUAUUUUAUACAUUAAAAUUUAAAUCUUAAAUUCAUAAUUUCAGAUCUUAUAAUUUUAAAUUUUAAUUCUCAAUUAAGUACAUUAUGUACAUAGGUUUAAAUUUAGAUCUCAAAAUAAUUUUUAAUCUAAAUAAUUUAUAUUGCAUCUCAUACAAU